rnacentral:rRNA from 1 species
GACGAACGCUGGCGGCGUGCCUAAUACAUGCAAGUAGAACGCUGAAGGAGGAGCUUGCUUCUCUGGAUGAGUUGCGAACGGGUGAGUAACGCGUAGGUAACCUGCCUGGUAGCGGGGGAUAACUAUUGGAAACGAUAGCUAAUACCGCACAACAGUAGAUAUCGCAUGAUAUCUACUUGAAAGGUGCAAUUGCAUCACUACCAGAUGGACCUGCGUUGUAUUAGCUAGUUGGUGAGGUAACGGCUCACCAAGGCGACGAUACAUAGCCGACCUGAGAGGGUGAUCGGCCACACUGGGACUGAGACACGGCCCAGACUCCUACGGGAGGCAGCAGUAGGGAAUCUUCGGCAAUGGACGGAAGUCUGACCGAGCAACGCCGCGUGAGUGAAGAAGGUUUUCGGAUCGUAAAGCUCUGUUGUAAGAGAAGAACGAGUGUGAGAGUGGAAAGUUCACACUGUGACGGUAUCUUACCAGAAAGGGACGGCUAACUACGUG